AAAAACAAAAAACUGUGUAGGGAAGAAGGAUGUAAAUUAACUUUGAUAGAAUCUCCAAAAGCCACUAAAUCACUUUUCUACAUGAGAAUACGACUUCACUUCCAGUACAACGACAUGUGAAUCAUGACAAAAGGCAACUUUUUCA